rnacentral:rRNA from 1 species
AUUGAACGCUGGCGGCAGGCCUAACACAUGCAAGUCGAACGGUAACAGGGAUCAGCUUGCUGAUUCGCUGACGAGUGGCGGACGGGUGAGUAAUGUCUGGGAAACUGCCUGAUGGAGGGGGAUAACUACUGGAAACGGUAGCUAAUACCGCAUAACGUCGCAAGACCAAAGAGGGGGACCUUCGGGCCUCUUGCCAUCGGAUGUGCCCAGAUGGGAUUAGCUAGUAGGUGGGGUAACGGCUCACCUAGGCGACGAUCCCUAGCUGGUCUGAGAGGAUGACCAGCCGCACUGGAACUGAGACACGGUCCAGACUCCUACGGGAGGCAGCAGUGGGGAAUAUUGCACAAUGGGCGCAAGCCUGAUGCAGCCAUGCCGCGUGUAUGAAGAAGGCCUUCGGGUUGUAAAGUACUUUCAGCGGGGAGGAAGGGAGUAAAGUUAAUACCUUUGCUCAUUGACGUUACCCGCAGAAGAAGCACCGGCUAACUCCGUG